ensembl:lncRNA
UGUGGAAUUGUAUGUCAGAUUUUUCCAGGCUGAAUUGAAUAAAUGUCUCUCUCUUCACAGUGGAGAGGACAUGUCAGUACAAAGAAGUGACUUAUGAGGUAAUUUGAGAGGGAGCAGUGUGUGUGUGUGUGUGUCUGUGUGUGUGUGUGUGUGUGUGUGUGUGUGUGUGUGUGUGUGUGUUUGUUUGUGUGUGUGUGUGUGGUUACUGUACUGUAACUAUACUGCUUCCCAAAAGGUUUCUGUGUGUUGAGGGGACUAAUGUGAUUAAAAGCAUGGGAGGUUCAAGAAGAGAGAGUAUAUACAAGAUCUAUUUGUGUGUAUCUGUGAGUCUGUUGUGAUGCUAAUAUAUUUGAUAUGUUGGUGUGUGUUUUUGUGUAUCUAUUAUGAUGCCAAUAUGUUUGAUAUGUUGGUGUGUGUGUGUGUGUGUGUGUGUAGGUUGGAGAUCGCUGGUCAGACCCCUCAGAGAAGUGUGUAUCAUUUAGCUGCACUAACAGUGGCACUCUGCAGGAGAAGAGUGUGUGUCCUCAGGAGAGCUGCCCAGAGGAGCUUCGUGUCUGGGAUGAGCAUCACUGCUGUUAUACAUGUAACCACACCUGCGCCCUGCGUCUCACGCGGGUGAACCUGACAGUGGACUCCUGCUUCACCUCCGUGCAGCUGCCCACCUGUGAGGGACAGUGUGAGGAUCGCUCCAGGUGAGGUUGACUCACACCAUGUCAUUAUGUGUGAGGGGUGUUAUUCUGUGUUAGGGAGUGUUUGAGUGAAUGUCUUAGUAUGAGAUGUGUGUGAGUGUUUGUGAGGUGUGUAAGUGCAUGCAAGACUUAAACUCAUGUGCGGACUAUUAGUGUGUUUAUUUGUGAUGGGUUUUAGAUUGUGUGUGACUCACCUGUGGUCACCUGAGGCCAGGUGAGCUGACUGACUGACCACCUCUUUGUCCACAGGUGGCAGCAAGAGGGCGGAGUCCUGCAGCUUGAGAGGGCGUGUCCUCUGUGCCAGGAGUCCACCUGGGAGGAGCGUGUGGUCUACCUGACGUGUGGACACAAGCCGACUCCUUUCAAUUACAGACACAUCACUUCCUGCCACUGUGACACCGGCUCCGUGCACAUAGGAGCGUCCAUAUAGGAGCGUCCAUAUAGGAGCUCCCUGACCUUGUCAUUUCAUUCAUAUCAAUCAAGGUUAAUUCAGGGCAGGGUGUGAAUAACUGGCCAGCUGACAACCUACUUUCAGUUGAUCACUACAUAGUGUUUAUUUCUUGCACUUACAUUUCUUUUCAUGUUCUUUUUUUAAUUACUGAAGUGUAUGAACUGAGCCAUAAAGUAAAAAAAAAAAAUCUCGCCUUUAUCUAAAUGUAUACAAUUCAGUGUGAAACUGCAGCUCAAUCAUGUUAUCUCUUCAUGUAAAUUAUCCGCCAUGUUGUUUGAUUUUAUGCUUCCUGUGAAUUACUCAGGUGUAUGGUCCAUUCUGACCGAUUGAUGUUUAAGGCUGGGUGUUUUGGCCUUCUAGAGACGUUUAAGGUCACAAAGUUGAAGAUGUUGAAUGUUAUGCUGUAGGGGAUGUCUACUAUUGCUUUGAGGUUUUUUUUCUGCAAGUGAGCAACCUUGCAUUCAUCUCACGGAAAGAAUACCAGAGAUGCUGGUAGUUCACUUCUGUGGAGCUGUCCCAAUGGGAGCCAUUCUAUAGGUAUUUGAAAUAAAGAUCUGUGUCAAUCAAAUGAAAAUGUUUAA